AGCCAAGCUGGCUCAGGUUUUUCCACUCAGAACCCGCGGCACCGCCGUGACAGCACAGACUUGUCCUAGAGCUCGUUUUUCAGGAAGGUGUGGCCUGGCCUCCCUGCCUGACCCCGAGUCUCCCGGAAACGAGCGCUGAGCGGAGCCGAGCCCUUGCCGACUUUCCUGUGCAUGCACUCGAGAGGAAAGAAGGUCGGCGCGCAAAGCCUGCAGGUUGGGGAUCCGCACACCCAGGAGCUGCAGAUGUGGCGUGAGCACCAGCAUCCCGCGGUGCCUGCAGCACAGCCGUGCCUGGAUUUUGGAAGAACCGAGCGUGUGCUCAGUUUGCUUACCUGAGUGACUACAAGUUGGGUUUCUGUCCUCUGCAACAGAAGGAACCGGGACUGCUGCAAGGACAGCCUGUCGUCUAACUCGGCCUCGGACGCUUCCCCCAGCCCUGUUUCUCUGGGUGACUUGGCUGCUUGUCACCCUGUGUUAGGCUGUCCCUCAAGUUCAGAGGCUGUCCCCCAACAACAACAGCACCCCCUGCUCCUCUCUUAACCAUGAGGUCAGCUUUCGGUGACUGCAGCCAUUGUGCCACUUGGGAACAACCAAGGCAAGUACAGAGACGGACAGGGUCCAGGGCCGGAGAAUCCCGAUGCUUGGGGAAUAGUGAGCUCCCUUCCUCACCUGGGUACCACCGCGGAAGAGGAGGUCGCACCUAACCUUGUGUAAUAAAGACCUUCCAGACUUCUUCCAGACUUCUUGGAACUGAGCCUUCAAGAGUGGGGGACCCAUGGAUGCCUCCAACCGACCCUGCAGUGCACAUUUCCUGUUCCCUCUGGGUUCAUCGGAAGAAGGGCGUCCAGAAAGACCGUGUGCACGCCGCAUCCUUGGCUGUGACUUCUAGCUGUGCAUGAACUAACUUGGGAUCUCUCCAAGGCAAAGUGACCGGGAAAGGGAGUCAUUUUAAAUUGAUUCAGGAUGUCGAGGCAGCCAGGACAGCACAGCUAAAGACCUCAGGAGAGAGAACGCCAGAGCUGCUGCAGGACGUGGCCGGGAAGGUGGGAUGGGUGUGUGCAAAGUGAGAGGAGGGUUUGGAGGGGACUCAUGGAAAUGUGUCUGCUACAGUAAUAAAUUUUUAAAACUUUAAACAUUCCCCGAGUUUUCGAUCAACCCUGGUAUUUUGUUGUCCAGCAAGUGUGGACACAUGGGUUCUCCUGGAGCUGGACUCUGUGUUUUGCUCAUUGCCGUAACCCCAGCAACCAGCGUAGAUGGGAAAGCAGCACAUGCUCAACCAAUAUUUGCUCAGUGAAUGAACAGCCCCUUUGUCCUCUGGCCGGCUGCAGUGGUGCUGCAGCUUUUUCUCCCGGCUCCUGGCAAUGGGUUCCCGGGCAGGCAAGGGCUCAGGCUGGCGUGGGUGGGGACAUUUCCUGGAGGAAGAAACUACCCGAUGAUGAAAAUGGCUUUCGGGGAAGUGGAGCUGGGCACGUGGGGACAGGCCAGUGGCAAUCUGGGAAAGGUGAAGACAGAAAGAAGGGAACCCAAGGUCUGCCCCAGGACCCAGGGGUCUGCUGAGAAGCCAGGCAGGCCAGGCAGGGUAGUGCAAGGUGAAGAGGAGAGCGAUACAGGGGAGAUAACCUUCCAGGGCUGAGAAGCGGUGGGGGACUUGCUCUGGCUCUGCGUGAUGGGGAGGUGGGGUGUGGGCUCUGUCAACAGCGGAUUGUAACCGCUUUGCCAGAUAGGACCUUUCAAGGGACCACAGAGUCAGAACGAAGUCUAGGGUGGGCCCUGAUCCAAUCUGAUGGGAAUCUCAUACAAGUAAAAGUCUGACCAUGCAGUGCACCCACACAGGAAAGCCUGGUAAGGGCGUGGCCGGAAGUCAGCCUUGGAGAAACAUCAAAGCUGCCAACCCCUGCACCUCAGACUUCCGGUCUCCUGGACCCAAAGAAAACACACUUCUGGGGUGUAGCCCACUCAGCCUGGGCACUCUGUUGAGCCCUAGCAAAGGACCCAGCGUCCCAGCUCUGCCCGGCAGGCAGGAAGCUCUGGGAGUUUCCCUACCUGCCUAGGAGUCUGAUUUACUAGAUUUACUAGUCUGAUUUACUAGAGUCUGAUUUCUGCAGAUUUACUAGAUUUCUCCAGGGGCUGCUUAUAGAGAGGUUCAUCUUGAGAGGCACAUUUGGGGUCUCCGGCCCGUGCAGAGGUGAGGGUAACUCAGCCCCCCUUUCUCACAUCCUCUCCUUCCUCUUUGGCUGCACCCUGAGGACACAGCUCUGCGCCACUAAUGAGACCCGGCCGACCCAGGGGUGGGCCUCAGUGGCUGGCACUUUUGGCCUGGUUUGAGUUCAUGUUGGACAAUGUUUUUUAUUCUCUUUUUUUCUAUAGCUAAAUUGUUUUUCAGAUGUGUGCAAUGCACCUCCGACAGCUGAGGGCUUCUACCUACAGACGAAGGCUCUUUGAGCACGGGAACCGAGCGUGUGCGGACUGCCCGAGCUCCUUCGGCCUCUCGCCUCCCCUGGGGGCAUCUCGGCCCACAUCUGUUACGGCGCUGAAAUUCAGAGAACGUUUGCUGAGUGGGAUGGCACUGACGAGCCUUCAGAGAAGCUCUUGUUUUUGUGUUUGCUUCUGAUUUUAACAAGCACUGACAGUUUCACCGGGUGUCGUACUUGGAGAGGCAAAUUCUGUCCUGUGCUGUCUGUCUGUUCGGGGCUGAGCCGUGUGAGGCAGGGACAGGCCCGUGACAGGAAUUCGGGACAGGGACAGGGCCCGAGAGCCGGGGCCGUGACUCGGUGGGACCUGCUUCAUCGUGGUGUCUGCCGCCCCGGCUUAUGUGACUCAGGGUCAGAGGCUUCACUUCCGGUGUCUUUCACCGUCCUCUGAAGGGGACCCUCUUCCUUUCUACCUCGUGGGCUCUCCAGAGGCUUGCCUGAGGCUGCCAGAUAGAGCCCAGCUGCGGCCCUUGGUGGGUGUCCCGGGGACUGCGCCCUCCUCAGGCUGCCGCCGGUUUUCAUUUCAGCUCUGUCCUAUUGCAGGUUUGCGCUCAGACCUCCUGAUCUAACAUCCCAGAGACACCGUCCCUCCCCAGGGUCACGGCUGGGGCCGGGGUGGACGGCCACCGACCCUCACCUCCUCCUGGCCCAUCUUCGGGUCCCACUGAGGGUCACAGCACAGCUGGGCUCCCGGAGCCAGGGCCGGCAGGGGGAGGGCUCUGAUGCCCCGGCCCGGGCACAAGAAGGGGCGGUGACCUCCUCGGCACACAGUAGGGCUGCUGGGGUGUACCAGUCAGGGAGGUGAGGACCAGCCGCAGCCACCUUUGCCCCUGGAUGUGCCUGGGCCAGAGCUUUCUCUCUCCUUCCUUCCCUUCCAAUCUUUAAGCGAUUUCACAUGGUCCAGCCGCCCUGCUCCUGGUGGGACAUCAGGGGAGACAGGACAGGUCUGCAUCCCUGUGUUUAUGUGGCACUGUUCACAGCUGCCAGGGCACAGGAUCACCCCAAGUACCUGUCAAUGGGUUGAUGGAUAAAGAAAAUGGGAUCUAUGUCUUUAGCACACAGUGGAACACUAUGUAGCCCUUAAAAAGGAGAAAAUCGUGUGACUGCUUGAAUGAUCCUAAGGAUGUGCUAUCCAGCGAGAAGAGCCAGGCAGAGAAAGACAAGCAGUACAUGACUUCGCUCUUCGUCCCUGGUGUGAGCCGUCCGUCUUCCAUCUUCUGAACAAUCCACACUUCCGGUCUGGAGUCCUUCCCCACACGGGCUCCUACGCUGCACCUGCAGCCCAUCCACUCUCCCCAUCCAGAACCUUCCUGUUCCACUUCCAGCGUAAAUUGCAGCUCCCAGGAAGCCUUCCCGGCCACACACUGCACACCGUGGCCUCCCCCGGUUCUGUGACUUGCGGGUUUCUUGAGGAGCCCUCGCACCACUCAUGAUCAUCUCCUCUGUUCCCUCCACGGAAUACACGCUGGGUUUGUCCCGGCACCCCUGGGAGCCCGGGAAGCUACUGCGGAUGCACAGCAGUGUCCAGAUCUUCAAACAAGAUUUUCUUCCGGUGACAAACGUGACUGUUUGCCUUACGACAGACUUCAGCUCCUGCUGAGGAAGACGCUGGGCUGCAGGACUUGUCGGAUCCACCACGGGCCCAGACCGGCGCUAUAAACGCAAAGCACUGUGGGAGAGAAGGGAAGCAAAGCCCACAUCUUAGCCUCCCUGUUUCCGAGUCCCUGGAAAACUCCUGCACCUUAAGCCCGUUGCUCCUCAAAAGCAUGAGUUGUGUUUUCUUCUGAGACUGUCAGAAAUUUAAAAGUAGUUUGAGCUAAAACUUGUGUGCCUUUACUUCUGCUACGAAUGCCCAAUAGGUAGCUACAAGCAAGACAAAGCUUGGCCUUCCUGGUGUAUCCUUUAUCUUAAAACUUUAGAUACAGGUAUGUUCAUCAUU